ACCGGUGGUUAUUCCGGAGAGGUUACACCCGUUCCCAUUCCGAACACGGCAGUUAAGGUCUCCAGGGCCGAUGGUACUAACACCCAAUCCGGUGUUGGCAGAGUAGGUCGCUGCCGGUC
rfam:Elusimicrobia bacterium RIFOXYA2_FTLL_53_38 rifoxya2_full_scaffold_1608, whole genome shotgun sequence.